GAUGAACGCUGGCGGCGUGCUUAACACAUGCAAGUCGAACGAAGCAUUUAAGACAGAUUACUUCGGUUUGAAGUCGUUUAUGACUGAGUGGCGGACGGGUGAGUAACGCGUGGGUAACCUGCCUCAUACAGGGGGAUAGCAGCUGGAAACGGCUGGUAAUACUGCAUAAGCGCACAGUACCACAUGGUACAGUGGGGAACACUCCGGGGGUAUGAGAUGGAGCCGCUUCUGAUUAGCGUUGUGGCGGGGUAACGGCACACCCAGGCGAGGAACAGUACCUGAGCGGAGAGGGGGACAGGUCGGAUCGGGACUGCGGCACGGCCCAGACCGCGACGGGGGGGAGCAGUAGGGAAUAUUGCACAAUGGAGGAAGAUGUGAUGACGCGACGCGGCGUGAGUGGAGAAGUAGUUCGUAAUGUAAAGCUGUAUCAGAAGGGACGAUAGUGACGGUAACUGAUUAAGAAGCUCCGGCUAAAUACGUG
rnacentral:rRNA from 1 species